rnacentral:rRNA from 1 species
GACGAACGCUGGCGGCGUGCUUAACACAUGCAAGUCGAACGGAAAGGCCCUGCUUUUGUGGGGUGCUCGAGUGGCGAACGGGUGAGUAACACGUGAGUAACCUGCCCUUGACUUUGGGAUAACUUCAGGAAACUUGGGCUAAUACCGGAUAGGAGCUCCUGCUGCAUGGUGGGGGUUGGAAUGUUUCGGCGGUUGGGGAUGGACUCGCGGCUUAUCAGCUUGUUGGUGGGGUAGUGGCUUACCAAGGCUUUGACGGGUAGCCGGCCUGAGAGGGUGACCGGCCACAUUGGGACUGAGAUACGGACCAGACUCCUACGGGAGGCAGCAGUGGGGAAUAUUGCACAAUGGGCGGAAGCCUGAGGCAGCAACGCCGCGUGCGGGAUGACGGCCUUCGGGUUGUAAACCGCUUUCGCCUGUGACGAAGCGUGAGUGACGGUAAUGGGUAAAGAAGCACCGGCUAACUACGUG